rnacentral:rRNA from 1 species
AUUGAACGCUGGCGGCGUGCUUAACACAUGCAAGUCGAUCGGUAACAGGUGUAGCAAUACAUGCAGACGAGAGGCGGCCGGGUGAGGAACGCUUGGGAAUCUGCCCAUCAGCGGGGGACAACCCGGGGAAACCCGGGCUAAUACCGCAUACGCUCCAAGGAGGAACGCCGGGGACCGCACGGGCUGGCACUGAUGGAUGAGCACAAGUCGGAUUAGCUAGUUGGGGGGGUAACGGCCCACCAAGGCGACGAUCCGUAGCUGGUCGGAGAGGACGAUCAGCCACACUGGAACUGAGACACGGUCCAGACUCCUACGGGAGGAAGCAGUGGGGAAUAUUGGACAAUGGGGGAAACCCUGAUCCAGCGACGCCGCGUGGGUGAAGAAGGCCUGCGGGUUGUAAAGCCCUUUCGGUAGGGACGAAAGCUCUCGACCUAACACGUCGGGAGGUUGACUUAACCUACAAAAGAAGCACCGGCUAACUCUGUGCCAGCAGCCGCCGUAAAAC